UGAUGUGAGGGCGAUCUGGCUGCAACAUCUGUCACCUCAUUGAUCGCCAGGGUUGAUUCGGCUGAUCUGGCUGGCUAGGCGGGUGUCCCCUUCCUCCCUCACCGCUCCAUGUGCGUCCCUCCCGAAGCUGCGCGCUCAGUGGAAGAGGACGACCAUCCCAGAUAGAAGGAGUGUACCGUUCUUCGGUCAAGGGUAUACGAUAGCUGCGCUCCCCUGCUAGAACCUCCAAACAAGCUCAAGGUCCCCUAUCCUUUUUGCCAUGUGGUUGAAAUCGCAGCUGGGAGAGCUGGAUUGUGAGCCGAGGAAAA
rnacentral:snRNA from 1 species